CGACCACGGUUGGAGAAGACAAUCAAAGCAACCUCAGCAUCACAAAGAACCGAUAGCUCAUAAGCCUUUUUGAGCAAACCAUUGCGCCUCUUACAAAAGGUAACUUGGCGGUUCGUCGUGUUUUCGAUCCGCUUGAUCUCGAUCUUUCCUCUCCCCAUUUUCUUCUGGGGAGAGUCUUCAAGGGAUUCGUUGGGGUACACCAUGCUUCCUAACUGAAAAAAAUAAACCAUGAUGAAAGCAAUGGUACCAUUUUUACUAUCUUCUUUGAAAAGCAGACAUAUAGAAUCUGAUGACCAAAGGAGAGCUAAAAUAGCCAAUGAAAAAAUAAACCCAAAGUAAGUGAAGCAAGAACAAGUGAUUAAAAGGAUUAUGUUUUCAGUUUAUGGCUAACUAACCUUGAAAGGAAAAUUAAAGAAAAAGGCAAGUAUGAUAAUUAAAGGCAGAAAAAGAAAGAGAAGGGUUUUUUUAUUUACUUCUCUUUGUUUUUCAUUUUAGCUGCAAAUCUCUGACUAGAUGAGAUGCAGAAGAUGGAAGCAAAGAAGGGUCGAGAGUUUCUAUUUAUAAAUGUAAAUAAACCUGCUCUGUGUUAAUUUAAUCUUCCAUUUUCACAUACAUGUAUCCUAUUUUUAGUACUAUUUGGGUUUUUUGAAGGCUGUAUUUUUUUUUUUUAAAUUAUCAGUAUUUUAAUAAUCUAACCUGUGAAUUAUAUUUUAAAGAUGAAGAGAAUAAAAAAGAAAGGAUAAAGUUGGGAAUCAUCACUUCUAUGGUUGAGACCGGUUGUUGCAGCCUGAGCUCUAAAAUAAUAAUAAUAAUAAUAAUUUAUUUAAUGCCUUAUAUGUGAAUACCAAAAUAUUUUUUUAGAGAAUAUCAAAAUCAUAUGGUAUCUAGCCUUAAGCUUUUAUCACUUUAAAGGCGUAAUUUUAGAUAGUUUAGUAUAUAUCACAAUUUUUAUAGAACAUCGUUCGAAUUUUUAGUAUACUAAUUAAAUUCAUAUUAUCUAAGCAUCUAUUAAGAUUUUUUUCAAAAUACCAAAUUUUCUAAGCUCGUAUUCUUAGAUAUUUUGGCAGGUUUUGUAAAUUGUUGUAACCAUAAUUUUUUCACCUAUUAAAUUGAAUUGCUUUUAUUUUUUUAAAUAAAAAUCUCUAAACAGCUUACAACGACGAGCUCCAAAAAAAAAACAUCUCAUUUAACGAAUACAACAUAAAAAAACCCUUUCAAAAGCGUCGAAAAUAAUAUAUCAUAACUUAAGUGUUAACCAUCUUCUAACACCUUAAAAGUUAUGCUCGUACUUAAAUGAAUCACCACACUUCAUCAAAUCCCAAUCCUAAUGUAAAAAACAAUGACAUCAUGUAAACUUACAAUCCAACAACACUACAACAAAUCAAAAUCAUCAAAUAUGAAUCAACAAGAAUUCAAGCGGUACCCCCAUAGAAAUUACUCAAUUUCUAAUAUCGUCCACUAAUAGUAAACAACUAGUAAGAAUAUGAAUUUUUAUCCGAUUAAUACGUGAAUUUGAUUCAUUAGUUAUUCACACAUAUUUAUAAUCGUUUCACAUUUGGCUAUUAAUUUAACUUAAGUAAAGCUUCGUGGGAAGUUACUUAACUAAAAUAAUCGUGAAUGCCUAAUCGUCAACUCAACAACCAUUAUAGAUAUAUACUCUUUUAUGAGUCCUCGUGAGACAAUCUCAAUGAGUAACAUAUAUGACUAGUUGUCAUUUUUACAGGAAGCCUCCCUAAUGAACCCUCAUAAUAAUGCUUAUUGCAAGUUGCGGUCAAGGUGAAAUUGACUCGAAGUAUUAUUAUGCUAUCCUACAGAAACCAUCGUUGGAGGUUGUGGGUCUUGUUUAUGGACUUUCUCCCACUUAAUAUUUAAAAAAAUGCAAGGUUUUAACCAAUUUCAGUCAUGAAUGAUUAAACAUGCUUAUAACAAGUAAGAGUGACAUUCUUUUUUUAAACUAUAUGGCACGCUUAUAUCACAUAUGCAUGUACGUGGUUUUUUACUUAAUCAUUCCCAUUCUUAUAUAAUACUAACAUAUCAUAAAAUUGAAAAUUAAACUAACUCUGACCAGUCAAAAGUUUCCAUAGUUUCAUCCUAAGAAAAAUAAAAUAAUUAAAAUUACAAUAUUAUUUCCAAAGCAUUCUUUAGCUCUUCUAGGUAAAAUUUGAAUAUCUUGGGUUUUGCUAAAAAGAAUUUGUGCGCCAAAACUAAACUCGAAACCAAAAACACGAACCUGAAAACUAAAACAACUAUCAUCGUUGGCCACCACUUCCACCAGCCAUCGUUAGCACUGCUGUCAAUCAACUUGUUGUAGACGUUUGCCAACAGUCGUUCGCACAGUUUCCAACCAACACCGGUUGUGGCUUGUUUGUGCAACCCCUUGUGCGCUACUGUCGCCCAACCAACCAAGUUGGGGCACGACACCCCUUGCCUACUACCAAUUAUGCUCGACUAUUAUUGUCAGGUUGUGAUAUAUGCACAGAUGGGAUGAAAUUUAUUAAAUUUCAUUCACCAAAGCUGCCAAUUUUCAAGUUUGAGAAAUCAACUGACUUUCGAUGACUUUUUGGAUGGGAUCCAUAUAUUUUUAGGUUGAGAUGUCUUAUAUUGUUUGAAGAUCUAUCUCUUAGCUUCGAAACACAUUUUGAAUCACUCAAAUUUGAGUUCGGGAGCUCAAGUUAUGACUGUUUUAAUAAAAACUGCACGAGUAGAAUUUUUGGGCAGGAUAUGACAGGAAUUACGAGUUUCUAGCUUUUAAUUCGACUUUAAAUCAUAUUGAGUUCGGGUUUUUGGCUUGAUUGUUAUUAUAUAUGAGUCCAAUAUUAUAUUUAUCAACUCUUAAUAUUUUAAUUUUAUAUUAUUCCAAAUUUUUAAUAAUUAUGUAGUUUAAAUUAUUUAGGAGUUUUAUGUCAAUAAGGAAGUUUAGUUUAAAAUUAUUUAUUAUUUAGAUUAAUUAUAAUUUUAGUAUAUUUAAGUGUUUUAUUUAGAUUUAUUUAGCUAACCUAUAUAUAGGCCUUUGUAUUGUAUACAAAGGAAUCAAUUCAUUAUUAUUCAAUUUAUUUUGAGUUUUUUUGAGAAGAGUUUUAACAAUUUUUUCAGUAGGGAUUAUCUUCAAACUUUUUUUUGUCGUUUGCAAGGCUUCUUAGGACUUCUACAUAUCACGUUCUAUCUUUUUCAUUUAUCUUUUUUAUUUUCUUCUUUAUUGUUCCAAUCUUUGAUUUAUUUUUCUAUUUAUUUAUCUUAGUUAUUUAUUUCUUUUAUUUUAUUUGGAUUUGAUUGUGUUUCAGAUUGUGUCAAAAUCCAAAUUUCUUUCUAAACGUCUAGAGCCCUAAGUUAAAUUCACGACUUAAACAAACUUUAUGAUCCGCUUCCGCUUUCAUCCGCUCAUUCGUAUCUGGUUGGGGCACAAUGUCAUGGCCCCAGGCGCGACCUCACCAACCAAGUCUCAAUGCCCUGGUUUAGGUCGCCCCUUGUGCACUGGCUAGGUGCAAUGCCCUGACCACCUACAUAUCUCGUCCUCACAACUACCCAACGCAGUUGUCGCGCACCAUCCAAUGUUUUGGGCGAUUCUACCCACCUCACUUACGCCAGUCACCAUACAUGGUGACUUUUCGCUCAAUCGUCAAUUUUUUCUAGUUUCGGUUAGGGUGUUGGUUGCCUUGCAUUUCUAUGUAACAUGAUUAAAAUCUCCCUUAUUAUAUACUAUUAAAAAAGCAACUUAAUAAGUGAUUUUUAAUAUAAUCAUAUUUUAUCUUAUAGUAACUAUUACAUCUUCCUUAAUGAAAAAAUCAAUUACUAACAAAUAGUAAUUAAUUUGUCCUAAACAAAUGACCUAACACCCCACUCAAGUUGGAACAUGCAAAUCAUAAAUGCCCAACUUGCUGAGAGGCCAUCGAAUUGCGGUUCACCAAGCGCCUUUGUGAAAAUGUCAACCAACUAAGCGGAUGUCGGAACAUAAGAAGGUGCAAUCAACCCAUCUUGGAUUGCAUCCUGAACAAAGUGACAAUCCACCUCAAUUGCAAUAUGUAAAGAAAAUUGACUAUUGCAUCUCAAACAAAGUGACAAUCCACUUUAAUUGCAAUAUGCAACACAGAUUGACUAUGGCCUCGAAAGCAUCGUUCUUCUCUAUCAGCUUAUUUCUAGUGAAAUUGAGUGCCCUUUGCAUCUUUUCCACAUUGGUAUUGUGAGACUCCAACACAAAAGUCCUUAAGUUGAUCCUUCAUUGAAUCAAACUCAUCGAUGCGCCCUUCGACCUCUUCGAGCGUCUCUCUCACGUCCCUCAUAGACUCCUCGAGAUUAACCACUCAUUCUUUUAAAGUCAUCACCAUGUCCCUUGAUCGACUUGUGGUGGUGGUGGAGAAGUAGAACCACCACCAGCCAUUGAGAACAAUGAAAAAAAUUUGUGUUAAAAGGUGGAUGAUAAUCAGCCCGAAGGUUAACAUUGCUGCUCCGCCGGGCAAAACAAAAGAUAAUAAGCAAACUGCUUGGAGAAGAAAAAAAAUAAAUACAAGGAAACCUAGCCUCUUGAUACCAUGAACAAAAUAGGUUAAUUCCUUUCAAUCUUAUUGAUGAUAAACCACAAGAGCAUACAUAAUAUUUAUAUUGCAAUAGUCACGUAGGAAUAGGAAAGAUAUAUAAUAUAUUUAGAUAUUCCUAAACGAUAAUAUCCCAUAAUAAUAUCUAACACAACAAAACCAACCUGCUUAACAAUAUGCAUGAGAUGAUGAAUUCUGUCAAAGAUAGUUCUUUCUCACUUUGAUGGUAAUUUGAAUGUUUAGGGUUUUAUGGAUUGGCUUGUAGAGGUAGAUAGAAUUUUCAACCAUACGGAGAAUCCUAAGGAGUGAAGGGUAAGAUUCGUAGUAUACAGAUUAAAGGAAGGAGCCUUAUCCUGGUGGGAAUGUUUACAAGACACAAUACAGCGUGAGGGAAAGGGCCAAAUACGAACAUGGUACAAAAUGAAACAAUUGCUCAAGGUCGAUUUUUACCUAUACAGAGAUUAAUGCACGACUACGCCACAAAGUUCAUGAGGCUUGCUGAACGCAACAACUUGAUGGAUUCCGAUAGCCAAAUGGUAGCCAAAUACCUAAAUGGAUUAGGACUUACAUUAAUCUAGGACAAGAUUGGUGUGAAAAUGUUGUAAAACAUCACCGAAGCACGUAAUAUGGAGUUAAAGAAAUGAUACAAUGGAAGAAGGUGGCUUGGACUAAGAAGAAUUGCUAUCAGUUUGCACUAGCAACUUUGGAGAAUAAUAAGAAACUGGAAACUUGCAAAUUCAAACUUAAAAAUCCAAUUAUGACAAAGCAACGAGAAAGAAAUUGGCGGAAGGGAUUGAGACAAACACAGUCACAACCAUCAAAGAACCCAUAUGCUAAGUCAAUUCCUAAAAAAUGUUGUCGGUGUAAUCUACCUGGACAUUGCGCUAAUGAUUGUCCAAGAAGAAAGGAAAUUGACGUUAUAGAACGUAGCGAUUACAAAGAAGAAUUUGAGGAAGGAAAUGAAAUAAUAUGCAAACAUGAUGGUGACAGCAAUAGAAAGAAUUCAGUAGAUGGACACAUUUUGGCAAUACGAAAGAUAUUAAAAUUGAAGGAUGAAGAUACAACCCAAGGCCAACAACAUUUCCAAACUAGUUGCACAAUCUGGUAACAUUUACAACUUGGUAGUUGAUAAUGGUCGAAAGGAGAACAUCAUUUAGACGAUGCAUAUAUCAAUGGAAAAACCACUUUUUCAAAAUGUUCGAUAAUCAAAGAUAUUACAAGAGUUGCCUACAAAGUUAAACCUAUCAAAUUACCAAAUGAAACUAAAGGGAAAUGUGAUUUUAAAGAAGAAUGUGGAAGAGUGGUUAUAGACAAGACAUGUCUAGAGGAUAAAGCUAACUCGAGGAAGAGUUUAUAAGAGAGAUAUGAUAAGUAGUAUCUUUAUUAAUUUAUUAUUUAUCCCUAAACUUGUUAUUUACUUGAUGGAUAUAUUUAAUUUAUCAUUUUAUUAAUUAUUUUUUUCUUUUAAUUUGUGUUACAUCAUAUAUUAAUCUUACUCAGAUCAAGUUAAUUUUUAAAUAAAAUACUUUAAAUAUGAAUUAUUUUAAUUUUAUAUCAACACAUCAUAUCACAGAAUUAGUUCUUAAUUUAUUAAAAAAUAAUAAUUCUCUACUUUGAUAAUUCUAAUUAACUUAAUUAAUUCAUCAUCUAAAAGCUAGAAAAAGGUGGGGUGCAGUAGACAUGAAUAUUUUAAUUUUCCAAGUACACAUCAAAAGUAAAUUUAGCCCCAUUUCCUUUUACAGUAACCUUAACAAGCUUAUAAUCAGUUACUAGAUAUAUGUAUAUUAUAUAUUUCAUAGUAAGUGGAAAUGCCAUGAUUCAUGGGGGAUAAUCUUGUAGGAUCUUAAUGCAUGUUCUAAGCAAAUGGAAGAGGACAUUCUUGUCUGAAAAUCAAACUUAUCAUUCUUACACACUCUACGCAUCUUAAACAUGGCAGACGAUCAGAUCUAGGGUCCUCCAUUUAAGGAAAGUUAACAUAAUAUUCCUGCCUUAUAUAGUAGCUUUCAUCUGACACAAUGCUAAGAUGUUCUUCACUAAAACUGAAACAGCAGCAAUGAACCAUGCACGCCCCCAUAACAUUAGCUGCACACAAACCAUAGGAAUAUGUUAUAUAGUUUCAUCUAAGAUGAAAAAAUAUUUGGUAAUACAAAGACCUUUUUUUCUGCAAAGAUUCUUACACUAGUUGAAGAGCUAUCUGGUCUUGCUGCAGCUGAGGGUUAUAAUAAUUGGUGGCGGGUUGUAAAGCAUCGACUUGGAAGUAGUUCCGAGAGUCAUAUGGUUGAGAAUGUAGGGCCUCGAAGUUAGCACUUGAACCUCCGGGCAUCAAAUUCAUGCUCUGCUGCUUCCUCUCGUUCUCAGCUAUCUGCAACAUACAGUAAUGGCACAAAUGGUGCGUUAAGCAUGGCUUUUGGCUGUCCAACAGCACUUUUUAACGGCAAAAGCAAUGAUAAACAAAGGGUUUUUGCAAAUCAAAGGUUUUUUCAACCGCAACAACAAUGUUAAACUAAAGUAAAGAAAGAGAGAUCAGACCUUGGCUCGAAGAAGUUGGUUAUUGUUAUGCAAGUCAAUUUCCUGCAGCAAAGGACAAAAUUAUAAACAUACACACUAAGAACAUACUAUGGAUCGAUCCCUACAUGGUUCAAUCAAAUAAAACACCAUUGAGACCCCCCUUUUAACUGAUGGCCAAAGACCAAAGUAAUUGCCUUAUAUAACACUCUCAGGCAAGCAAUUAAUCAGUUUUGGAUUAAAUGGUGAUGUGAAGAGGAAAAAGUACUUACCCUUUUCUGCAUAUACUCAAUUUCAGCAAACAACAGCUCAUUCUGGUAGAGUUUAAAGGGGAUAAAUUAAAGGAGAAGGGAAAAUUUGUCAGUAGCAAUAAUAAUUAAUAAUCUUAAAGGAACUAUUUUUAAUUACAUAAAUUAUUAUCAGAUACCUUUUUGGAACGGAUUCUGCUAAUUCCUUUUUCUAAACGACUCUCCAAGCUCUUAAGCUCUUUCAUAGGCAAUCCCCCUAUGGACUCUCCCAGCAUAUGCCUGCAAACAUAUAUACACAUAGCAUUGUUAAACAAAAAGGGUUUUGAAAUAAAAUUGUAUAUGAUGGAAGUGAAUUAAAACCAUGGGGAAAUGACCUGUUUGCAUUCUGCAAAUUCCGGAUUUGAUUUCGGAGUUUGUCAGCUUCUUGCUGAUAGAACUGAGAUUUACAUCCGUAUGGCAUUACCAGAGAAAUUUUAUUAAGUAAACCAAGGAGUUGAACAAAACCAGAUAGUAAAGGUUAAGAGCUUCUUCAGGGAAAUGUUAAGGUUAAGGACUUAAUUAAAUGCAAAUUAAAACAAUGAAGAUUGAUUAAGUUAAUACCUGAGCAUUAACUUCAGCAACUGAUCCAGUAUUGGAGGAAUCAGAAGCCUUUUUAUACCUCUCAAUUGUUGCUUUAACACUGCAAAAACAUUGUUUUAGUUAAAUAAAACAAAUUAUAUCAACAAUCAAGGCAAAUAACACAGUUAAUUAUUUGAAAAAUGUAUAUACAUAUAUAUAUAACUCACGUAAAAAGUACACAUAUAAAUCAUUCAUGAAAUGCUUGCAUGUGAUCCAUAUUACCAACCUUUAGCAAUGUCAUUAUGAUUAAUUAAAAAUUAGUUAGAGCAUAAUGGUGUUUAGAAACAUUAUAUCUUCAUCUUCAUCAUCAUCAUCACAUGUAAUGCUAGUAGGUAGCUGUUUUAUUAAGCAAAAUCGUCAAAUCAACCAAUGUGUCAGUUAACUGAACCUAAUACGAAACCUUGAACCCCCCAAAGUUUACAAUAACAAUGGAGCAAUGGCUAGCUGUGUUGUUCACAUAUAUAUGGACCAUAUUUGAUUGAUGAGACCCCUUAAGUCACCUCGUUAGUCAUCCCCAAAUCAACUUUAAUUUCCUUUCUGAUACCUUAAUUUCGUCGAGCCUCUGAUUGGCCGUCCCUGCCAAUGCUAGCACUGUUUCUAGCAGUAUGAUUGGCUCAGAGUUUUUUAUUUGUGCCAGGUGUCAUUAACCGAUUACACGGAGGAUAAUACUUUAAAGAGUUCGUACGUUAUUUUAGUAAUUAACCCACCUUAUUUAAUAAACAAAUAGUAUAAAGCAAAAGCCAAAAAAAGAGAGAGAAGAAUUUAAUUGCUAUAAAAAUAUAGAACAGUGAUUUUAUCAGCUUCUGUCAGUGUCUGAAAACUGUGAGGAGCAGCAGCAGCCAUAGUUACAAGUUUCACAGUAGAAGCCAAAACCUCAGAACACUCCCAUUGGUUCGCAGUUGCCGUACGUUGUCUCUCUCAGACAACACUGCUGUGUGCUGACUCACUUUUUCUUUUCUUUUUUUACUUUUUUAAGUGUUGCUUCUCUCUCUUAAUUUGAACUUGCACGAAUAUAUCUAAGCAAAGAUCUUUUCACAAAUGAAAACCGGGGAAGCUAAUGCCAACAGUAAGUCAUUCAUUAUAAAUGAUGAUGAUGAUGACCCUUUGAGCAGUUUUUGAGCUUUAUUUCCAUUGGCUAAAUGGGUUUGCAAUGAUGAAAAAAAAAAACAAGACAAAGAAACUGAGGUUUUGGAAUAAUGUAAGAAAACUCAUUUUGUCAAGUAGUGAAGAAACUAAGAAAAUCGUGUGUGACGUGACCAAAAGAUUCUGGUAACUAAGACAAAACACCACACCUAAUCUUAGUCAUGGAGUCAUCAAAACCCUAGAUAGAUUUAAAAAAAAAAAAAAUUGAAUUCGAGACCCAAAAUUUAAAACCCAAAUCUAUAAACCCUAGAUAGACAUAAAAAAGACCCAAAUUGGUGAUAAAAAGGAAGAGAAAAAAAAGUAUCUCUAAAACUAUGUAAAAAAAAUUUGGUGAGUUGUUGCGGGGAGAUUACUUUGCUUGAUUUAAGGCUUACCAAUUAAAAGGGUUUUGGUGAGAGUUGUUAGCCUUAUGUGGUUAAUAACCGAAAAAGAAAAAAGAAAACCAAACCCUAAUUUGGUUAUGUUUGACUGUGAAAGGAGGGGAAUUCACGUGGUGCCCAAAGUGGGGAUUUAGGGAAAUUUCGUUUAUGAAGAACCCUAAUUUAGAUCUUAUUGAAUUUGGUUGUGAUUGGUUGUAAAAAGGAGUCUUAACAUGUUCCCAUUAGCAAAUUUAAAAAAAAAACACCAUGUUUAUUUUAAAAAAAUGAAACCCUAAUUUGAUUUUCUUACAUUGGGGGUUCUUAAUUUAGACAAUAUGUGUGUUUUUUUCUAGUUUCCUUUUGGGCAAACUCCUUUUACUAUCUUGAUCUUUUUCAACUGACAUCCAUUAAGGAUGAUUUUUUGAGCUAAUGGGAACAUGACAGAUAUUCAUGUAUAUAGGCCCUUUAGCCCCAUGGCUGAGACAGGCUCAGCCCCAAGAAAAAAAAGAAAGAAAGAAAGAAAGGAAAGGAAGGAUAAAUUUUAACAUCAAUGGAGGAUAUAGAAAGCACAGAAGGCUGAUCUCUCACAGGUCCAACAGUCAUAUAUAUAUACACACACGCACACACACAUAUAUAUCAUAUCCCCAAAACCUAUGCUUUUAAAUUGUUACUUCCGCAAAAACAUAAUGCUGUCUAUUUCCAUCUAUUGCACCAGAUCCAUGUAUCCACCAAACUAGGAAUUUCAGAAAAAGAUCAUAAACAGAAAUAUAUAUAAAGCCCUAAAGCUUAUACAAGUAAAAAAAGACAAAAUAGAAGGGAAAAAAAAGACAACUGAAUCUUAGUUUUAGUGAACUCAAUCUAUAGCUUUUCACCAAAAAAUAUAUAAAAAAAACUAUAUAAUAAAUAUUAAUACUUCCACUGAUCAAAGAUCCAUUCCUAUAUAUAGUUCCAUUGACAAAAUUUUCAUUGUACUUUGAGAAAAUUAAGAUCAAAGGACAUACCUAUUGUUAGCAUACUCAUAGAGUCGACCACGGCUAGAGAAGACAACCAAAGCAACCUCAGCAUCACAAAGAACCGAUAGCUCAUAAGCCUUUUUGAGCAAACCAUUGCGCCUCUUACAAAAGGUAACUUGGCGGUUCGUCGUGUUUUCGAUCCGCUUGAUCUCGAUCUUUCCUCUCCCCAUUUUCUUCUGGGGAGAGUCUUCAAGGGAUUCAUUGGGGUACA
rnacentral:lncRNA from 1 species